rnacentral:sRNA from 1 species
UAAACGACGGACAAUUCACGGUCAUCCAGCUCGUGGGCAUGCUGCGGGGCAUCGCCUCGGGCAUGCGGUACCUUGCCGAGAUGAGCUACGUCCACCGAGACCUGGCUGCUCGCAACAUCCUAGUCAACAGCAACCUCGUCUGCAAAGUGUCUGACUUUGGCCUUUCCCGAUUCCUGGAGGAGAACUCUUCCGAUCCCACCUACACAAGCUCCCUGGGAGGAAAGAUUCCCAUCCGAUGGACCGCCCCGGAGGCCAUUGCCUUCCGGAAGUUCACUUCCGCCAGUGAUGCCUGGAGUUAUGGGAUUGUGAUGUGGGAGGUGAUGUCAUUUGGGGAGAGGCCGUACUGGGACAUGAGCAAUCAGGACGUAAGUGUCCCGUGGUUGUACCAAGCUUUCCUUGAGUGUUCUCUCACUGGGAUUUGGGGUGAAGGGUGGGUUCCCAGAGAGUCAUCACUGCUGGGUUCUUGAGACCAUGCAGAUGACAAAAAGAAUUGAUCUUUGUAUCAAAGAGUUGAGAUGCAGGGCCAGGCCUGGUGGCUCACGCCUGUAAUCCCAGCACUUUGGGAGGCCAAGGUGGGCAGAUCACCUAAAGUCAAGAGUUCAAGACCAGCCUGGCCAACAUGGUGAAACCCCAUCUCUAAAAAAAUACAAAAAAUUAGCCGAGCAUGAUGGCGGGUGCCUGUAAUCCCAGCUACUCAGGAGGCUGAGACAGGAUAAUUGCUUGAACCCAGGAACAGAGGUUGCAGUGAGCUGAGAUCACGCCAUUACAUUCCAGCCUGGGCAACUGAGCGAGACUCUGUCUUAAUAA